AGUUGAAGUGCUUACCAAAAAUUAAAUGUUUGCUAAACAUUGCUGUUUUUAAUGGUAGGAGAUUACAAUAUUAAAAUGUGUGUGAAAGAUAAAGAUGAAUCAGAGAAAUAAGCUGAAUUACUAGUGCAUUUAACAGAAGGAAGUUUGAGAGCCCUGGCAAAACUGACACUCUGACAUGGUAUCUUUUAUUGAUCUCAAUAAUGGAGUGAAAAAUAUGACAAUUCUGUCAUAGAGAUUGAUGUAGAAACCUCACCAACCAUAAGCAGAAGUAAAUACAGACAUUCCAUCCAAUUACUGUGAGAGGUGAAAUGGUGAAGAUACAUUUGUGUGGACACUUACUGUUCUUUCUAAACAAAAGAAACCACACAGGAAGUACAGAGACCUCAGUGCUGUGACAUAACCAGCAAAUCCCAUCUUGUUUUGAGUGGGGUUGAUACUUCCCAGCCUGCAUCAACACACAAGUUGACCAGAAUUCCUCCAGGAGUUCCUGCUCUUAGACAAAAAUCCUGGCAUACAGUAAAAAAUUAAGGAGUCAGUGAAGAAUGCUGCCCAGAAACCAGUCAUCCUGCACUGAGUCUGGCACAGAAAAUUAGAAUUGUGAAAGAAAUGGUGGAA
rnacentral:lncRNA from 1 species